rnacentral:lncRNA from 1 species
UGGAGCUGUGACAGGGGAGGGUCAGGCUUGGUGUUAGGAAAAGGUUCUUCACUGAGAAGGUGUUUGGGCACUGGAAUAGGCUCCCCAGGGCAGUGGUCACAGAACUGAGCCUGACAGAGUUCUAGAAGUGUUUGGACAAUGGUCCCAGACAUAGAGUUUGAUUUUUUUGUGCGUUCCUGUGCAGACCCAAGAGUUAGACUCAAUGAUCUUUGUGGGAUGAUUCUGAGUUGUGACUCUGGAUAGUCUAUGAUUCUGUGAUCCCAGUCUUCCCUGUCUACUUGUCCACCUAGAAAUUAAAGCCUGAGGGGAAGACGUGGACCACAUCAUGUCCCUUGUAAGUCAAUGUAUUAGGAUUGUGGUGUGGUGAGAAAGGAGGUGCUGACAAACCCAGGCUGCAAGCAGUCAUCUAUCUUCACUGCUCAGAUGCUUCUGCUGAUCUUAGCAUUGAUGUGGGGAGAAACUUAACUGCUCCCAAACUGCUUAGUGCUUUGUAGGUCAAAACCGACACUACACAUUCUCCUCUGCAUUUAAUAGUCUGAGCAGGUCUUCCUGCAUUGGUUCCUUUAGUUCUUGGGUGCAGACAGUGUGUGGCACUGCAGUGCCUGAUCUGAAGAGCACUCACAUCUUAGAGCUCUGUGGUAGGAGUCAUGUCUGGGAGUUUUUCUCCUUUUUGGAACUCCUGGCACUUAAUUUUCACACUUAAGCUCUUUCUGAAAUAUUUGUUUGAACAGUGUCUGGACUCUGCAGCUUUAGUUAGGCUCUGGUUGCCUGUCUGGCAGAGGCAGGGGAACAGUCGGUGUUCACAAAGCUGUUGGGCAAAGUGAAGGAUGCGCAGCCCCUGGAUGCACAGACCCUUGUGUCCUUACCGAAGCUGUUUCAAGAUGUGAAUCCCAAGCUGAGAGCAGCCUUGCUGGAGAAGGAACGGGACAGUGGAGAAGCUCUGCAGCAAACAGGUAGAGAACUGGGCACAGUUCUGGCAAAGUGAGUGGGUAGCCAUACAGACAAAGCACCUUCAAAGACCUGGUUACACGUCCCUCUGGCAGGC